rnacentral:tRNA from 1 species
CUAUUAUGGCAGAAAUUAUGCAAUGAAUUUAAAAUUCAUUUAUAAAGAUUAAUCUUUUUUUAGAA